GCGCCGGUAGCUCAGCUGGAUAGAGCACCAGACUACGAAUCUGGGGGUCAGGGGUUCGAAUCCCUUCCGGCGCACCA
rnacentral:tRNA from 1 species